CCUACGGGUGGCAGCAGUGGGGAAUAUUGCGCAAUGGGCGAAAGCCUGACGCAGCGACGCCGCGUGAGGGAUGAAGGUCUUCGGAUCGUAAACCUCUGUCAGCAGGGAAGAACGGUCACAGUGCUAAUCAGCAGUGAAUUGACGGUACCUGCAAAGGAAGCACCGGCUAACUCCGUGCCAGCAGCCGCGGAAAUACGGAGGGUGCGAGCGUUAAUCGGAAUUACUGGGCGUAAAGCGCUCGUAGGCGGGAUGUCAAGUCAAGGGUGAAAUCCCCGCGCUCAACGUGGGAACUGCCUUUGAAACUGGCAGACUGGAGUGUGUGAGAGGAUAGUGGAAUUCCAGGUGUAGGAGUGAAAUCCGUAGAUAUCUGGAGGAACAUCAGUGGCGAAGGCGACUAUCUGGCACAUAACUGACGCUGAGGAGCGAAAGCGUGGGUAGCAAACAGGAUUAGAUACCCGGGUAGUC
rnacentral:rRNA from 1 species